rnacentral:rRNA from 1 species
UGCCAGCAGCCGCGGUAAUACGGAGGGGGUUAGCGUUGUUCGGAAUUACUGGGCGUAAAGCGCACGUAGGCGGAUUAGUAAGUUAGGGGUGAAAUCCCGGGGCUCAACCCCGGAACUGCCUCUAAUACUGCUAGUCUUGAGUUCGAGAGAGGUGAGUGGAAUUUCGGGUGUAGCGGUGAAAUGCAUAGAGAUCCGAAGGAAUACCAGUGGCGAAGGCGGCUUCCUGGUCUAAAACUGACGCUGAGGUGCGAAAGCGUGGGUAGCAAACGGGAUUAGAUA